GACAGAGGGUGCAAACGUUGCUCGGAAUCACUGGGCGUAAAGGGCGUGUAGGCGGGUAGGCAAGUCGGGCGUGAAAUCCCUGAGCUCAACUCAGGAACUGCACUCGAAAACUGCUUAUCUUGAGUGCCGGAGAGGAAAGCGGAAUACCUGGUGUAGAGGUGAAAUUCGUAGAUAUCAGGUGGAACACCAGUGGCGAAGGCGGCUUUCUGGACGGUAACUGACGCUGAGACGCGAAAGCGUGGGGAGCAAACAGG
rnacentral:rRNA from 1 species